rnacentral:rRNA from 1 species
CCCUUAGAUGUUCUGGGCUGCACGCGCGCUACACUGAUGCACUCAACGAGUUUACGACCUUGCCCGAUAGGGUUGGGUAAUCUUUUUAAAAUGCAUCGUGAUGGGGAUAGAUUAUUGCAAUUAUUAAUCUUCAACGAGGAAUUCCUAGUAAGCGCGAGUCAUAAGCUCGCGUUGAUUACGUCCCUGCCCUUUGUACACACCGCCCGUCGCUACUACCGAUUGGAUGGUUUAGUGAGAUCCUCGGAUUGGUCCCGGCGCGGCCUCUGGUCGUGCCGGAGUGCCGAAAAGAAUGUCGAACUUGAUCAUCUAGAGGAAGUAAAAGUCGUAACA